GAGGGAGGUCGGACGGGAUGGAGAUUGGAAGCAGAGGGCUCGGAUGGCUGCAGGUAUGAGGAAGGAAAUCUCUCUCUCUCUCUGCUUGCGUGAAACGUCGGCACAGGCAAGUGCUCGACGGGGUUGGGGAUUGAAGGGAGCAGAGGUGGAGUUCGGAGAAGCGUCGGGUUGGAAGAGCAGCCGAAUGGAGGUGUCUUCCCUUUCGUUUUAUAGAUGCGAAAGAGGUGAGGAACGAGGCCGUCGUCGUAGGAUUCGCGUAGGAUUCCCGUAACGGCGCCGGAUUCAGCAGGAUUUUAGCUGAUUUUGGGAGAAAAAUCGGGAAGGAUUUCGGGAUUCAACGGAUACAAGGUAUGUAUGCGAGAUUUCUUUUUUUUUUUUCUUCUUUUCUCUUUGGUUCCUUUGGGUAUGACAUGAGGGUCAACAAAUGCCCCCCAACAAAUGUGGUACGUGUCUAGAGCGAAUCACGUUUGUUGUAUGUUGAUUGACCCUGUGGAUCUCUAGAUAUUUGUUCUAGAUGUCACACUAGGGUUUCCAUUUAGUGGAUCUCUAAAAGUUCGUUGGGAAGUCACACUAAGAUUUUCAUUCCAUAGACCUCUAAUAGUCCAUCUUUAUGCCUUUGUAGAUCCCGUAGAUGCACUUGUAGUCAAGAAGCUGCUUCAGAAUUUCUACAGUUACUUUUGGGCUCAGGCUACUACAAGAAGAGGAUCCGAGCUUUAGCCAGUUUACUGCCUCAGGAGACUUUAGUUUUGGUUUUUGGAGAGGAGCGGGAUACUUGUUCGCUAGCCACCUCAGGAGACUUCUGUUUCAGGUACAACAUUUUUUUAUAGUCUCUUAUAUAUGUUCUUUAUGAUUCUUUUUCAUUCUACUGACUUCUCUUUUGCUUUGUGCAGGUCCUAGAAGUGCAGAAUAUCUGAUCUUCGGAAGGAGGAGAAUAAGGCUGUGGACUUCCUCUUCAGGCGUAGUUUAGGAGAUAGAUUUUAGUCCUCUGUGAAGGACAUUGUACUUUUUCUUUUUUUUCAGCUGAUGUAAUCUUGUAAAAAGAUGAUAUUUGUAAACUUGUAUAUAAAUUUUGAAUGAAUAAAAUAAAGUAAUUUUAUAAAUCCAGUCAUUGACGAUCUCUCUUUUUACUGCUCUUGAGACUUCUGUA